rnacentral:rRNA from 1 species
CAGCAGUGGGGAAUAUUGCACAAUGGACGAAAGUCUGAUGCAGCAACGCCGCGUGGAGGAUGACACAUUUCGGUGCGUAAACUCCUUUUAUAUAGGAAGAUAAUGACGGUACUAUAUGAAUAAGCACCGGCUAACUCCGUGCCAGCAGCCGCGGUAAUACGGAGGGUGCAAGCGUUACUCGGAAUCACUGGGCGUAAAGAGCGUGUAGGCGGGUAUAUAAGUCAGAAGUGAAAUCCAAUAGCUCAACUAUUGAACUGCUUUUGAAACUGUAUACCUAGAAUGUGGGAGAGGUAGAUGGAAUUUCUGGUGUAGGGGUAAAAUCCGUAGAGAUCAGAAGGAAUACCGAUUGCGAAGGCGAUCUACUGGAACAUUAUUGACGCUGAGACGCGAAAGCGUGGGGAGCAAACAGGAUUAGA